rnacentral:misc_RNA from 1 species
UCUCCGUAGGUGAACCUGCGGAGGGAUCAUUACAGAGUCCAUGCACUACCGGGUAGCUCUCACAUCCUAUGUUAUUAUUACUUUGUUGCUUUGGCGGGCCGUUAGGCUCCGGCCCGACUACCGGCCCCGGCUGGUAAGCGCCCGCCAGAGGACCCAAAACCCUGAAUAUUAGUGUCGUCUGAGUACUAUCUAAUAGUUAAAACUUUCAACAACGGAUCUCUUGGUUCUG